GCGGUACGGACCUCUCGCACGUUCGUGUGUUUCACCAGCGUCCUGCCCUUUUUGGUUGUGUUCAUCGAAGACUGUGCAUCUUUGUCUUGUCAGUGUGCAUGUUACCGCUGGGUAUUGUCACGGCUGGAUGAGUAAAGCUGGGUGGACGUCAUCGUUCUUUUUUGUAUCAUCGCUUUGGUCGUGCUGUCGAAUCCAGUCCAGUUGUAUCCGUCGCGGACAGUCUAAGUUAAAGCCAUCGUCUCAGUGUCAGAGUUUCAUAAGUCCGCGUAUCUAGUCGUAAGGUGGUGACACUAAAGCAUUUAUCUUCAUUGUGUUGUCCACGGUGGCCAUAACCUACAUGGAAAUGUCAUCGGCAUUGACUCGUUUUCUAUCGUUUGGUCCAUAUUCGUGUAUACACGCAAAGUUUGUGAACUCAUCGUCCGUUUACAACCUUUUUUAUAAAACCACGUUUUCGUUCGUUUUUGUGCUGUGUCAGCCUUUUACAGCGAUUGUGAAUAACGUGGUUUAAUGCAUUGUCGUCUUCCAGCACUGUAGAAUUGUGAAAUUCAUCGUGAGCAAGUGUUGACAUACAAGUUUAUGUGUGGGAUGGCGAAUUUCAUCCAGUGCACCAGGGAUGUGAGCAAUACAAAUGAAUUUAAUACAAUAAAGGCACAGCCCCUGCGUGCAUGCAACCACUGAACCACAGUCACGAACGAAGAUACAAGUUUGCAGCGUAGGACGAAAACCACAUUAAAUCACAAUUGAUGCUGAUCAAUAGGGUGAAUAGGGCAUUAUGACACACGCCACUAAGAAUUUCAAGUGCACAUCAAUAUUUCCGGGAUCGAUAACAAAGGACAUUGUGGACCCGAGUGUCGUGCUACCCGAGAUAAUUAACAUCAUUAUGAAGGAAAAAGAUAUUAGCACUAUGAUGGCUAUGACGCAUGAAUUCCGCAUGAACAUGAAAAGACUACCCCAAGCCAUGUGAGCCCGGAUAGACCAGGAGCUAAACCAGAUGUUUGUUUACUGCCUUGAUCUCGGGUAUCGACCGAUGUUCCUGUCCAUGGAGAAGGAACGGAUAAUUUCUUACGAUAGGAUCAUGCGGUUGGUCUUGGAUCGCAUGAAACCAUAUUUUGACCUCGAGCGAAUCGCCAAGACCUUUGACUUUGAGAUCCUUAAGUCUAACUCAUAUCGAGGACCAUGAUGGAUAGCGCCAGCGACCCGACUGAAAGCACGAUAAACCAAACCAUAGAUGGUUUUUUCUCCGGGCACCCGUACAAAUCCGUCGAUCAGUUCAAAGCCACCAACGGUUAUUUUAAUCAAAAAUAGAGAAAUAUUAUACAUGAUAGAGAGAAAUGGCGUGAAGUUGUGAUGGUGGCAAAAACUCUUAUAGAGUAGAUUAAGCCAGAAGAAGAAGAAGCAAUGGCUUACAUUGCAUUUUUGCUUUGUACGUAAACUUGGAUUUUGUGAAACGCAUAAAACUUUGCCGGUUGACUUGGCUGUGACACCACAUUAAUCAGGCCCGUUGGCCUCAAU